GAUGAACGCUGGCGGCGUGCCUAAUACAUGCAAGUCGAGCGAACAGAUGAUGAGCUUGCUCCUCUGACGUUAGCGGCGGACGGGUGAGUAACACGUGGAUAACCUACCUAUAAUACUGGGAUAAUUUCGGGAAACCGGAGCUAAUACCGGAUAAUAUAUUCAACCGCAUGGUUCAAUAGUGAAAGACGGUUUUGCUGUCACUUAUAGCUGGAUCCGCGCCGCAUUAGCUAGUUGGUAAGGUAACGGCUUACCAAGGCAACGAUGCGUAGCCGACCUGAGAGGGUGAUCAGCCACACUGGAACUGAGACACGGUCCAGACUCCUACGGGAGGCAGCAGUAGGGAAUCUUGCGCAAUGGGCGAAAGCCUGACGGAGCAACGCCGCGUGAGUGAUGAAGGUCUUCGGAUCGUAAAACUCUGUUAUUAGGGAAGAACAAAUGUGUAAGUAACUAUGCACGUCUUGACGGUACCUAAUCAGAAAGCCACGGCUAACUACGUG
rnacentral:rRNA from 1 species